rnacentral:tRNA from 1 species
CAGGGAAUAGUAUAAAAAAGUAUAUUUUGUUUACACCAAAGAGGAGAAGUUUCUUCCCUGA